rnacentral:rRNA from 1 species
GGCCGCUACGUGCGAGGGGCUGGGGGAGUGCGGAGGGGGGGAGAGUGUGUCGGAUUCAUUGGGCGGAAAGAGGUCGUAGGCGGUUCAGGAAGUGUGGGGUGAGAUCUCCGUGCGCAACGCGGGGCGGCCACCUGAGACUGCUGUGACUCGAGUCCGGUAGGGGAGUGUGGAAUUCCCGGUGUAGCGGUGAAAUGCGCAGAUAUCGGGAGGAACACCAGUAGCGAAGGCGGCACUCUGGGCCGUGACUGACGCUGAGGAGCGAAAGCGUGGGUAGCAAACAGGAUUAGAUACCCUUGAGUC